rnacentral:rRNA from 1 species
CGUUAANUCGGAGGAAGGUGGGGAAGAAGUCAAGUCNUCAUGGCCCUUAUAAGUAGGGCUACACACGUACUACAAUGGUAACUACAGACGGAUGCAAAGCAGNGAUGUCGAGCAAAUCCUAAAAAAGUUAUUUCAGUUCAGAUUGGAGUNUGCAANUCGACUCCAUGAAGGCGGAAUCGCUAGUAAUCGCGGAUCAGAAUGCCGCGGUGAAUACGUUNCCCGGGCCUUGUACACACCGCCCGUCACACCAUGAAAGUCGGCUG